AGUCCCCUUUACAGCAGAUAUAGAUAAUAAAUACAUUUAUAAUUAGUCCAGUAAAUUACUUUAACUAUUCACGCUUUUAGCUUAACCUGUUUUAAAUGGAAGUGCUCGCCCCUUCACUUCCACUUCAGUUCACCCUGCUGUCAAUCAUAGACAGACGGACUAUCCUCAGAGCCUCACCUUGCGAUAAUGAAUUGCUGAGGGAGAUGUUAUAAAAGAUGGAGAGAUUUAUUCUCAGUCCCACACUCCUCAGAUUGGAAUUACAGGUUAAUCUUUUUAUAAACAAAGCUCCAAUGUUUCUUUAGGUUUUUAAUGAAACUCAAUUUGACAUCUCCGCGCGGAUUGUAACAGGUGACCAACCGGGAAAAACAUAAGAAACCGUCGCUCAUCACAGAGCAACAGAUGGACGAGCACAACAGGAUAUUCACACUAAGAGGAUUCCUGGGUUUUUUUGCCUGUCGCUGUGGACUUUUUUUUACAUGCACACUCUUUCAUCGUAUCCCAGCUCGAAUGGCUCACUUGACCUGAUGUAGGGUUGCCGGAUAAGCCUUGCAAAAUCUUCUAGUAUGCAUGUUGACCUGCUUGGAAACUGGAGAACCUUGACUGUGUCUGUCAUGAAUAACAUUAAAUUAAUGACUCAGGGGGGAUUAGAAAGUGAUGGUGAUAUUUCAAGUCUCUUAACCGUAAUCUCGUACGCUCAAGUCACAGGUACGUGGCAGGUCUCUGUAUUAUAGUGGCCUAGGGUCAGAUUUCAUUCUAGCUUUACUGCUACAAAUGCAAUUUGUGUUAAUAAGGAGGAAGAGGGUGACAAAGUAUUACAAUAAAAAGUUUUUAUAUAUUAUUAAAAAUAAGCACAUUUUUAGAAAUUGCAAUUCUGAAGCAUUUUCAUCUUUUUAUUUUAAUUCGGACAGUACACAUAAAUUAUUACAUGAUCAAAUGCUUCAACCUAAAUCUGCCAUAAUUAGCACCAGAGCUCAAAAUUUCAUCAAAUUCCCUAAAGCAGGUACAUACAUUUAAUAAUAUAUUUAACAACACAAGCAUGUCUAGUAAGCAGAGACAGACAUAAAACAUGUCAAACUAUUAAUAAAAGAAACUAUUUUUGUUUCAAGAUAUGAUCUCUAUACUCAGUCCUGGAUUCAGUCGUCCUCGCCCUUUGCACCAUUUCUCGUCAGAUGACUUUCAAACAAAGGCUACAAAUGUAGACAAACCCAAAAAUUAUCUUUAAUUCUUUUAGGUAAACAAAUCAUUAAAAAAUAUAUGAUGAGAAAUUUUUUUUCUAUGUAAUAAAUAAGAUGUAUGGCUCAAAGAAAGUAGUUUGUCAGUUUUUAUUUAGUAAAGAACUCCUUAGCAAGGACCCACUUUCCCCAAUGCUAUAGUAUUGCUAGAUGCAUUGCAAUAUAAUUUAUUGCAAAAAGGAAAUCCAUGGAAGUCCUGGAAAUCCAUUUUUUUUGUAGUUGCAAAGUAUAUUAACUCUGCUCUAGUAUGACAAACUGUACAUAAAGGAGAAGAGGGUGUUUGGGUCACUACUGCUUUUUAGCCAAGAUGAAAGUUUGAUGUGUUUUUUAUAUUGUGUGUCAUUUUACACCAUUUGACUCAAGGAUGUUUCUUAGCCUUUUUUGUAUGGUUAGUCAGUAGUUUGUAUCUGGGACCAAAAAUAUAUAUUCAUAAGAGCUUGUUUGAGAUUAAAAUGAAAAUAAAUAAAUACAAAUUAAAAUAAA